UUAACAAGAGAUAUUAAACAAUAAAAUGAGCAUCCUUAAUUAUAUUUUAGACAUAUACGUAAUUUGGAUUCAAAGAAAUUCCUUUGGCUAUUCCUGAUUCCUGAACAAACCCUAUAUAUCAAAAUAAAAUAACAAUUAAGUAAAUUUUUAUAUACCAUGACAUGAUAGUCAUCCAUGUGUACAAAACAAAUAUAUAUAUUAUAAUUUAUAUUAUUGUAUAAAAUAGUGGCAUAAUAUAUAUAGUCAAGCCAAUCCAAACCAACCUACUCUCAAUCUCCUUUGUUGAUUGUUAAACCCUCUCUCUCAUUUUUCAGUUGCCUACUAUUGAACAAACUCCUCUAUUCAACCUCCACGUAAUCCUCUCUCUUUGAUAUCAUAUAGCUAUAUAUAUAUAUAUAUAUAUAGACAAUAAAAUUGUUUAUUGAUACAUAUAUAUUAAUAAAUAUGUCGAUGGCUGAAAUGUUAUUAUGUUGUGUAUUUGAAGCUGGAAGCAUAUCAUUACAUGAUAUGGAGAUUGAUCGAAGGCCUUACCAUAGAUAUUGUGGUUGUGCUCUUCACAAGUUCAAAGUAUCAGAUCAAACCACAUCAUCAUCAUCAUCCUUGAAGACUGAUUUUCAAGAUCUAUAAAUAUAAAUAUUUAUGUAAGAGGUUAGUAAGGAAUGGGGUACGUAGUAUUUUUUUUUUCUUCACUAAUUUCUCUGUUUUCUGAAAAAAAAAAGAAAGAGAAGAAGAAGAAGAAGAUAUACGUAUUUAUAUUAUAUAGAUGAAUUCAAAAGUUGUAUAUGUUUGUUUCUUUUGUUUUGUGAUACAAUUGUAAUACAUUAAUAUACAAAUAUAUACUAAUCAAAGGAUUACAUAUAUUUUAA